UACGUAGGGUGCAAGCGUUAAUCGGAAUUACUGGGCGUAAAGCGUGCGCAGGCGGUUUGCUAAGACAGGUGUGAAAUCCCCGGGCUUAACCUGGGAACUGCGCUUGUAACUGGCAAGCUGGAGUGUGGCAGAGGGGGGUGGAAUUGCCGGUGUAGUGGUGAAAUGCGUAGAGAUCGGCAGGAACACCCAGGGGGAAACCAGCCGACUGGGCAUCAACUGACGCUGAUGUGCGAGAGCGUGGGGAGCGAACCGG
rnacentral:rRNA from 1 species